GAUGAAGAACGCAGCGAAAUGCGAUACGUAAUGUGAAUUGCAGAAUUCAGUGAAUCAUCGAAUCUUUGAACGCACAUUGCACUCUCUGGUAUUCCGGAGAGUAUGCUUGUUUGAGUAUCUGUAAACAUCUCAAAUCUCUCUUCGCUUGCGUCGAGAGAAUUGGAUUUGAGCGAUCCCGACUCCUUCGUCAGAAAGAGGAGGGUCGCUUGAAAUGCAGGUGCAGCUGGACAUUCUUCUGAGCUAAAAGCAUAUCUAUUUAGUCCCGUCAAACGGAUUAUUACUUUUGCUUCAGCUAAUAUAAAGGUCGAAUGAACUACCAACGCUGAUUGCAGGAAAACUUGUUCGUUUAUUCGGACUUGUAAACUCGAUCUCAAAUCAAGUAAGACUACCCGCUGAACUUAAGCAUAUCAAUAAGCGGAGGA
rnacentral:misc_RNA from 1 species